GUGAGCACCUUGCCCCGAGCUAUGUGCUCAGCUGGUGUACAUAAAGCUUUCAGGAUGUAGGGCAGGGUAUGCCUAUCCUGAGAGUCAAUGAUCCAUAACUGCCUCCCUCUUUCUACCCUGUCUGCACUGCCAAACGCAUUUCAUCUCUUUGGCUGCAUGUUUGGUGAGGCUCCCACGGUGUAUGGCCUGAGUGUUACCUUCCCAGUCCCUGCAAGGUAGAAAAGUUCUGCUACGCCCCACGUUACCCAUGGGGAAAUAAGGCGGUGCUUUGUUUGUAAUGUCUUUGAAAUCCAUGUUUGAAUAUAAAGAUCCAAAUGGCUCAAAUUGCAUCUGCAUGGCCUGGAGGAGCAGGAGCUCAGGUGCCAGCCAGUCUGGCUCUCAGCCCCGGGUUCCCUUUUUGGAGAGGCACACAGUUCUUCCCAGAUACCACUUGUUCGGAAAAGGUACAAUUGCACAUCAGCAAUUUGGUUUAAGAGACGACGUGGAUUGUUUUUGUGUUUCAUUUUGCUUCGCAUCUCCUGCAACAUUAAUUUUGGAGCAAACUUAUCAUUCAGUAAGCAAAUAAAGAAAUGAAUCACUUUGUUCCCAUUUCACAUAAACCUUUAAGUACAUCUAUAUACAAUUUCAUUUUCUAUCAUCUUUAUGUAUUGCCUGAUAUAUUAACAUGCUUUCCUAGCCUUCUCUUACUCUCUCACUGUUCUGUAGCUGCUCGAGAGACUUUUGUUGGAGCUUUCUUUUUGGUACUGAAGCAAAACCCUGUCAACAGAGCGCAAAAGCUUGUUUAAUGGCCUCUAGCUGGCCGCAGAUGCCUACAUUUCUGAAUAGUACUCAACAUCAGAAAACUGAACGUACCGUUAAUUAAAGCUUUCUUUUCAAAUGAUGCCAAAAUAGAAUAUUUGCUAGAAAGACUGCGCUUUUCCUCCGACAUGAAGGGAGAUGAAAGACAUUUACUCUGUGAUUUAAUUUGCAUUCUCUGAAGUGACUCUGUGAAAUGUCCUUUGCUAGUAGAGAAAGUACUUGUUGCUGAAAACCUAAAACAAAGUACUGCUUGUCACUUUUUAUACAGAGCGAGUCUUGCACAUGAAAAAUUAGUGACGGUGUAAAAGAGGAGAUAUAAGGUCACACACUUACUGGUUACCACAUCCUAGAAGGCUUUUCUUUUUUUUUUUUUUUUUCCCCAACCACAUUAAAUUAUCCACACCAAAUAUCUACUUUACGAUUGUUAUACACUGAUAUGUUAAUAUUUACAUUUGUCAUGUGAAGGAGUUGUAGACAAUACUGAAUAGACCUAAAUAGAAUCAUGGAAUCAUAGAAUCAUAGAAUGGCCUGGGUUGAAAAGGACCACAAUGAAAUAGUGCUUUCUUGAGUUUUACAGCGUAGAAAUGAGUUUUAUACUACCUUAUUCUGUACCCCUAAAACUGCAUUAAAAUUCUUGCUACAUUUUGGUUUCUUAUUUAUGAAUAUACAUAUAUUUCAAUAAGAAAAGUAGAAGAGUAUUUAAAUACAGUGUAAAUGAUCUGUAAAUUGUAUAGGCACUGCUUAUGAGAGACAGCAGAUAUACACUUUGGGUUACACAAGUGACAUCCAAGCUGUGAAGCAAGUAUCCUGGUCUUGGUUUUUCCAGUUGAGAAACAAGCUGAUAGGUGCCUACACCCCAACUUCCAGGCUACAUAACUUGCUUUUCCAGUCAGACCUGAAAGUACAACAGGAAAAGUGGUUUCAAGCUAUACAGAGUUCAGAUGUGACUGCAGUACGAACUUGGAGCUGCCAUCUGGGGAGACCACGCCAAAUAUGUACAGCACUUAGGUCUCUAAGAUCAGUUCAAGGCAAGAAGAAACAUACUGUUGUGCUCCUCCUGGAAAACCCCUUCCAACUCCCCUACACUUCAGAAAAAGAAGUUUCUGAACCAAUGGCCUGGCUCCAAAUUCUCCUCAGGCUGAUAACCCGUAUGAAGCAUACUGCAAACAGAAAUAUUUAUAUACUGUCUUCCAGCAUUGCUCAAGGUAACUCAGAUUACCAUAAGAAGGCGACUAUUGUUGCUCAUUUUUACAGUGUUUCUAUGCCUGUGCUAGGUGACAGCCCUCCUCCUAUUUUGGCAAUCUGCAUGAUUUUCAUGCUCAAAUGCCAGCCUCAUAUCC
rnacentral:lncRNA from 1 species